ensembl:lncRNA
UUUAGGAUUUGAUGUCGUGUUGAAGGCCGUGGGUCAGCUCUCGAGGGGGACUUUAAUGAAGAGAAAUAAAUCACUUAGUCCAAAUGUUAUUUUUACAAAAAGCAGUUACAGCCAACACUGAAGCCUCCGUCUCUAUACACAUCCAUGAAUAUUUGGGAUUUCUGAGCUGCGCCGCGCAUCCAGCAGCCUGAACUCCUCACCCUCCGCAAUUAGAUUUGCCUCUAAAAGCUGCGGCCUCUUUUGUUGCACGAGUGUCACCUUUUGAUGGAGUCGGUGCCGCGGUGCAAUAAUCAGCUGACAGGGGGAUAAGCCUCGGCUGCUGCAGCGGCGAAUGCGCAAGUCUGCGGCCUGAAUACACAUCCGCGUGAGCGGAUGACCCGGAGAGACGACGCCCCGACGGUCAUUUGGAUAAAAUGGCGCUGAGGACGGCGGACCCGCAGCAUUUCCUCCUUCCCUGCAGCCCGCACAAGAGCCUGUUGCUGUUUGUGAGCCUCCUGCCAGCGGCAGCUUGCGGUUGCAGCGAGACGGGCCCUGAGCCUCCAUCGACAGACUGUCAUCGAGGGGGAGGCGGACGCUCUGCCGCUAAGUCACCAAAAGUGAUGCGUCAAAGUCCCGAUAAACAACACUGUAAAAAAACUGUGAUCCAGCUGAGAAGCAACAUGGACGCCACACCUGGUUCACACCUGGCGGCUCCUCCAGUCUGCAGCGUUUCCCAAACCAAGAACAGACGGUGUAAAGAGUGACUUAUUGGAUUGGAUCCCACCCAGCAGUGACUUAUACGCUCAACCUAUAUGUCACAGAUGGUAGGAUUUGAGCGUAGUUGAUAUAGGAAAUCCACUAAGGAGUAUUGAUCUUCCUCAGAUCUGCUCUCUCUGCCUGAUCUCCACAGGCUGCUGAGACCUAUACGCUGCAGCGCAGUAAUGACCCACCCACCGCCGGCUGACGGCCCCUUAGCGCCCGCUCGGGCCCUUCACCAGGAGUCCUGUCAGCGCGGAGGAAGCGGGGGACGCGCCGCGCCCAGACGCCGCACAGGCAGAACCCAGAGCGGCACCUACGGCCCAAACAGCAGCAGCAGCAGCGGCGGCGGCCGCUGACUCACUGUUUGCCUGCAAAGCCAUCUCUGGGAGGAUUAGGUUCAAAACCGCAACAGUAAUGAUCAGUUUGCAUCAAAGACGUCUCCAGAGCGAAAAACAACACGCCGGCACGUCGCUGCUUGGAGCCCCGGGUGGGUUCAACGGGCCUCGUGCAGCUAUUAGCACACCUUCACCAUGACGCAGCAAAGCAGCGAGUCUGAUCUACUCAUACGAUCCAAAAACAUGGAUCAUAUCAACAAGAGCAAUUCAUAAAUGUUUUUUUCCUAAUAGGUUAUAAAUGAUCAAAGUUUUGAAGCAAAAGCACAUCAUGCUCAGUCAGUGGUCUAGUUAGUGAUCCCAUGAUCCCCCUCAUUCUCUUUCUCUGCCUGUUCCUAUCAGACGCCUUUAAUCUCUGCUAAGACAGUCACGUCCAGAUCUGUCGUCUGCGGUGCCGACUCUGCUGAAACGCAACCUGCCAACUGCUCUCCUUCAUUACCUCGGCAGAGGAGCACACGGCGCGGUAAUCCCUGCUGGGAGGCGUCACCAUAUACUGUCAUUAAUGAAACGGAAGCCCCCCCCCCCCCCCCCCCCCCCCCCUCGUCCACCGCCCCGAGGAGGAGGGAGCGGCUGCAGCUGCAGCAUCCAGCAUCCAGCAGGCUGCGGCCACAGG